UUGUUUUCUUCUUUCCUGAGAGCUGAGAUGCCAAUCGCCCGAUCCCAUUUUCCCUGUCGACAUCUGUUCCAUUUGAAAUAACCUACCACGCGACGUGCCGCCUUGACAGCCACAGCUUUUCCCUCCCUAACCCUAAUUAAAUACCUAACCAAGGGUAAAUAAACCAGCUGUUCCGCUAAUCUUUUCGCCUCGCCUAGUUCUUUCUCAUUCGCUCCGCCUUGCCCAAAUCUGCAAAAAUCAGGUCCACGCCGCAAUUAGGCAGUAGAAAAAUCUCAGCUCCACUAUAAUACUGCCCCUGCUAGGGUUUCCAGGCCGCCUCCAUGGAACCCGCCGCCUGUAGAUCCUCCUCGAGCCGCCUCGCCUCCCGCGGCCGACGGAGGCCGCCGACGGUUUGAGUUAUUGCAUGUGGUGGCACCAAGCGUGAGGCUACAACUGCAUUACUUGCAAGGAAGUUACAAAAUUUAUGGAUCAUCAUACCCGUGACUUUCUUGCAUGUUGUGCAGUUGCUGUCUCUCUGUUUGCCAGAACUAUGAUGUGAAGUAGGAAUUUUAGCCAGGUGAGAUUGGUCACAUUAGUAGACAACUAAUGCAUUGCUCCUUGCAAAACAUGAGUACAUGCUUGCAGUAAGUGGUGAAGCGAACAUGUGUUAUGAUUAUUUUACUUUGUGUUCUCUUAUCUUGAUCUUAUUAACAUAGGUCCCAUUGUUUUUUAGUCUGACUAGCUAUAUGUCUUAGUUAACGAAGCCUGGUAGCCUGUGACAUGAAUUUGGUUUAUAUACUGAAAGGAACAAUCAAAACAGGCUCUCGGCCGUGUACUUUGCAGACUUCUGAAGCUUGGGGUGCUUGAGCAGAUAUGUGUCAUAAACAGCGACGACCUUAUCUGAAACGGCCUUCUGCAGUGCCUCACGGAGCGCGGGAUCUGGGAC